CUGCUUGCAUUGACAGCACAUAUAUUAAAAGUGGAAGGAUAUGAGAUUAACACAGUCCCUGAGCAAGGACGACACACAAAUUAGUGAAAUUAAAAAAUAUAUA